rnacentral:rRNA from 1 species
GACGAACGCUGGCGGCGUGCUUAACACAUGCAAGUCGAGCGGUAAGGCCCUUUCGGGGGUACACGAGCGGCGAACGGUGAGUAACACGUGGGUGACCUGCCCUCAGCUCUGGGAUAAGGCCCGGGAAACGUGGGUCUAAUACUGGAUAUGACUCCACGGUGCAGUGCCGUGGGGUGAAAGCCUUGUGCGGCUGAGGAUGGGCCCGCGGCCUAUCAGCUUGGUUGGUGGGUGAGUGGCCUACCAAGGCGACGACGGGUAGCCGGCCUGAGAGGCGACCGGCCACACUGGGACUGAGACACGGCCCAGACUCCUACGGGAGGCAGCA